rnacentral:rRNA from 1 species
UACGUAGGGUGCAAGCGUUAAUCGGAAUUACUGGGCGUAAAGCGUGCGCAGGCGGUUGUGCAAGACAGAUGUGAAAUCCCCGGGCUCAACCUGGGAAUUGCAUUUGUGACUGCACGGCUAGAGUGUGUCAGAGGGGGGUAGAAUUCCACGUGUAGCAGUGAAAUGCGUAGAGAUGUGGAGGAAUACCGAUGGCGAAGGCAGCCCCCUGGGAUAACACUGACGCU